rnacentral:rRNA from 1 species
AUACGUAGGGGGCGAGCGUUGACCGGAAUGAUUGGGCGUAAAGGGCGCGUAGGCGGCGCGGUAAGUCUGGAGUGAAAGUCCUGCUUUCAAGGUGGGAAUUGCUUUGGAUACUGUCGGGCUUGAGUGCAGUAGAGGUAAGUGGAAUUCCCAGUGUAGCGGUGAAAUGCGUAGAGAUUGGGAGGAACACCAGUGGCGAAGGCGACUUACUGGACUGUAACUGACGCUGAGGCGCGAAAGUGUGGGGAGCAAACAGGAUUAGAUACCCUGGUAGUCCACACUGUAAACGAUGAAUGCUAGGUGUAGGGGGUAUCGACCCCUUUUGUGCCGGAGUCAACACAAUAAGCAUUCCGCCUGGGGAGUACGGCCGCAAGGUUAAAACUCAAAGGAAUUGACGGGG